rnacentral:rRNA from 1 species
GGAUGCGAUCAUACCAGCACUAAAGCACCGGAUCCCAUCAGAACUCCGAAGUUAAGCAUGCUUGGGCGAGAGUAGUACUAGGAUGGGUGACCACCUGGGAAGUCCUCAUGUUGCAUUCC